AUUCUUACCUGGACGGGGUUUAUGGUGAUCAAUAAUGUCCGUGGCCUAGGUUGGUGACCUUCAUUGCACUUUGAAGGGGUGUCUGCCUAAGGUUGGCCCAAAGUGGUCGAGCCUACGUCGUAAUUUGUGACGGCGGGGGCCUGCGUUCACGUUGCCCCCUA